GAUGAACGCUGGCGGCGUGCUUAACACAUGCAAGUCGAACGGUGAACGAGGGAGCUUGCUCCCUCCGGAUCAGUGGCGAACGGGUGAGUAACACGUGAGCAAUCUGCCCUGGACUCUGGGAUAAGCGUUGGAAACGACGUCUAAUACCGGAUACGAGGCGUGGGGGCAUCCCCAACGCCUGGAAAGAACUUCGGUCCAGGAUGAGCUCGCGGCCUAUCAGCUUGUUGGUGAGGUAACGGCUCACCAAGGCGACGACGGGUAGCCGGCCUGAGAGGGUGACCGGCCACACUGGGACUGAGACACGGCCCAGACUCCUACGGGAGGCAGCAGUGGGGAAUAUUGCACAAUGGGCGCAAGCCUGAUGCAGCAACGCCGCGUGAGGGACGACGGCCUUCGGGUUGUAAACCUCUUUUAGCAGGGAAGAAGCGAAAGUGACGGUACCUGCAGAAAAAGCACCGGCUAACUACGUGCCAGCAGCCGCCGUAA
rnacentral:rRNA from 1 species